rnacentral:rRNA from 1 species
CACGUAGUUAGCCGGAGCUUACUUUACAGGUACUGUCUAUUUUUUCUUCCCUGUCUACAAUAGUUUACAAUCCGAAAACCUUCUUCCUAUACGCGGCGUCACUGCGUCAGAGUUUCCUCCAUUGCGCAAUAUUCCCGACUGCUGCCUCCCGUAGGAGUCUGGGCCGUAUCUCAGUCCCAAUGUGGCCGUUUAACCUCUCAGUUCGGCUACUGAUCGUCGUCUUGGUAACGCCUUUACCCCACCAACUAACUAAUCAGUCGCAAGUUCAUCUAUUAGCGGUAUUUCUCCUUUCCCAUUUGUAUCAUGCGAUUCUCAUGGCAUAUGCGGUAUUAGCACUGUAUUUCUCUAGUUGUUUACUUCCCCUACUAAUAGGCAGUAUUACUUACGUGUUACUCACCAGUCCGCCACUAACCUCUUACUAAAUAGUAAACUAUUACAAAUUCUAGUUCGUUCGACUUGCUAUGUCUUAGUGUCGCGCCGCAGUCGUUUAUCCGUGACGCGAG